rnacentral:rRNA from 1 species
AUGACUCCAGAUCACAUAGAGGCAGCGAGAGUUUUUGUUGAGACUCUAGCAUCGACAAAGAAGCAUGCACACCGAACCAUGGUCGAUAUGCCGCCACCAGAUGGGGACAUAUGCACGCCAGCUAUGCUUAAUAAUGUCCUGACGUUUAAAUGGUUGCAUGGCACUGCGUAUUUUCCUAUGCACGUUAAUGAUAAUCAUUGGAUAACCAUAGUGAUGCACACUGUCAAGGAGGAGUUUCAAGUUCUUGACUCAAAUUCUAAAGGCGCAAUUAGCCAAAGAAUUCGCAAUAUGAUUGCCACCCUGAGAGCUGAAAUUUCGAAGGAUAUUAUGGAGGCCAACUCAACUCUUGAAUUAAAAAAAUUUCCAGAAGUCUCAUCGUGGCCAAUUAAUGAGUAUAAAAUGUCGAGACAAAACAAUGGGUAA